UACAGAGGUCUCAAGCGUUGUUCGGAUUCAUUGGGCGUAAAGGGUGCGUAGGCGGCGCGGUAAGUCGGAUGUGAAAUCUCGGAGCUUAACUUCGAAACUGCAUUCGAUACUGCGGUGCUUGAGGACUGGAGAGGAGACUGGAAUUACGGUGUAGCAGUGAAAUGCGUAGAUAUCGUAAGGAAGACCAGUGGCGAAGGCGGGUCUCUGGACAGUUCCUGACACUGAGACACGAAGGCCAGGGGAGCAAACGGG
rnacentral:rRNA from 1 species